ACACUCCUGCGGGAGGCAGCAGUGGGGAAUAUUGCACAAUGGGCGCAAGCCUGAUGCAGCCAUGCCGCGUGUAUGAAGAAGGCCUUCGGGUUGUAAAGUACUUUCAGCGGGGAGGAAGGCGAUAAGGUUAAUAACCUUGUCGAUUGACGUUACCCGCAGAAGAAGCACCGGCUAACUCCGUGCCAGCAGCCGCGGUAAUACGGAGGGUGCAAGCGUUAAUCGGAAUUACUGGGCGUAAAGCGCACGCAGGCGGUCUGUCAAGUCGGAUGUGAAAUCCCCGGGCUCAACCUGGGAACUGCAUUCGAAACUGGCAGGCUAGAGUCUUGUAGAGGGGGGUGGAAUUCCAGGUGUAGCGGUGAAAUGCGUAGAGAUCUGGAGGAAUACCGGUGGCGAAGGCGGCCCCCUGGACAAAGACUGACGCUCAGGUGCGAAAGCGUGGGGAGCAAACAGGAUUAGAAACCCGAGUAGUCCCA
rnacentral:rRNA from 1 species